rnacentral:lncRNA from 1 species
CAGGAGCAGAGAUCUCUUUCUUUCAGUGAGAGUUGUCCAUGUAUCAGGUCCCCACCCACUUGGUUCAGGGUAGACCAGGAAAAGAUUGGGCCCAGGCUGAGUUCACAGCACCUAUGUCCUGAGGAAGGACACUCGUGUGUGAUUUACAAAUGCAAGUACUGCAGACAUGGAAGGCAUGCUCCUUGGUUCUUCGCAGGUGGGCCGCAUCUAGACUACUGCAGCCUUGUUUGCUGUCUAACAGCUGCCAGCAUGCCUGGGAGGGCCGCUGUCCCACCAGGAGCCUUCUGUCUGGAGUUCCACAUGUCGGGCACAAGGCGCCCUCUGCCACCAGCUGCUGGAGCCCCAGGUUCUCCCUGCCUGUUGGCAGACACCCAACAUCCUUUCCUCCAAUGCCUGCCCCUGCACCCCAGCAGUGAGUGUCUCCUGCCCACGAGGCGACUAUGAAGUCAUCAUGCUCCUCUCUCAUCUACACCAGGCUUCGAACAGUCCACUAGAUUUGUUCCUGGAUAUCUCUUCCUUCUUCUGUGCUCCACGGCCCUCUCCACUGUGGUAGUGUGCAGACUUCCGCUCAGGAUGUUGCUUCUAAUAGCACAGUGUUGAAUAGAAACGGUAGAAAUGAAACCAGCUAUACCAAAAUCCAGUUUUCAAAUUAUUUUAAAAUGUGAUCCACUUGCUUCUUAUUUAUACAUUGAAUAUUAU